rnacentral:piRNA from 1 species
UAUAGCAAGGUGACUCAGUUUGGC